GACGAACGCUGGCGGCGUGCUUAACACAUGCAAGUCGAACGGAAAGACCCUGCUUUUGUGGGGUGCUCGAGUGGCGAACGGGUGAGUAAAACGUGAGUAUCCUGCCCUUGUCUUUCGGGUAACUUCAGGAAACUGCGGCUCUUACACCAUAGGAGCUCCUGAAGCAUGGUGGGGGUUGGAGAGUUUCGGCGGUUUGGGAUGGAUUCGCGGCUUAUCAGCUUGUUGGUGGGGUAGUGGCUUACGAAGGCUUUGAAGGGUAGCCGGCCUGAGAGGUGUAACGGGGACAAGGGGCCUGAGGGAGGGCGCAGAAGGGUACGGGAGGCAGUAGGGGGGAAUAUGGCACAAUGGGGGGAAGUCAGAGGUAGAAACGUCGGGUGCGUGAUGACGGGUUUCGGGGGGUAAACCGCUGUGGCCGGUGACGAAGAGGGAGUGACGGUAAUGGGUAAAGAAGCAACGGCUAACUACGUG
rnacentral:rRNA from 1 species